rnacentral:rRNA from 1 species
CCUACGGGGGGCAGCAGUGGGGAAUAUUGGGCAAUGGGCGCAAGCCUGACCCAGCAACGCCGCGUGAAGGAAGAAGGCUUUCGGGUUGUAAACUUCUUUUCUCAGGGACGAAGCAAGUGACGGUACCUGAGGAAUAAGCCACGGCUAACUACGGGCCAGCAGCCGCGGUAAUACGUAGGUGGCAAGCGUUAUCCGGAUUUACUGGGUGUAAAGGGCGCGUAGGCGGGACUGCAAGUCAGAUGUGAAAACCACGGGCUCAACCUGUGGACUGCAUUUGAAACUGUAGUUCUUGAGUGCUGGAGAGGCAGGCGGAAGUCCUGGUGUAGCGGUGAAAUGCGUAGAUAUUAGGAGGAACACCAGUGGCGAAGGCGGUCUACUGGACAGCAACUGACGCUGAGGCGCGAAAGCGUGGGGAGCAAACAGGAUUAGAUACCCGGGUAGUC